rnacentral:rRNA from 1 species
GAUGAACGCUGGCGGCGUGCCUAAUACAUGCAAGUCGAGCGAACAGACGAGGAGCUUGCUCCUCUGACGUUAGCGGCGGACGGGUGAGUAACACGUGGAUAACCUACCUAUAAGACUGGGAUAACUUCGGGAAACCGGAUCUAAUCCCGGAUAAUAUAUUGAACCGCAUGGUUCAAUAGUGAAAGACGGUUUUGCUGUCACUUAUAGAUGGAUCCGCGCCGCAUUAGCUAGUUGGUAAGGUAACGGCUUACCAAGGCAACGAUGCGUAGCCGACCUGAGAGGGUGAUCGGCCACACUGGAACUGAGACACGGUCCAGACUCCUACGGGAGGCAGCAGUAGGGAAUCUUCCGCAAUGGGCGAAAGCUUGACGGAGCAACGCCGCGUGAGUGAUGAAGGUCUUCGGAUCGUAAAACUCUGUUAUUAGGGAAGAACAAAUGUGUAAGUAACUAUGCACGUCUUGACGGUACCUAAUCAGAAAGCCACGGCUAACUACGUG